GCCGCAUGGUACUUGAGGCUGCAAUCGCAUGGCUGUAUUGAUUUCCGCCUCUUUAAUCCCUGACUGCCCAUGUGCGACCGCAUGGAAUUCAUGUUGUGCGGUCAUAUGAGCCAUGGUUUUCUCUCCAAACAUCAGCCGCUUGUAUAUAUCUUCAACAGCCGACCAAGUUUCUUCUCUUUUCUCCAAGCUCGUGAUGCAAAUACGUGAAUAUCUAUUAUAACCUUGCGGCCUCCAAUUAGUUGUAGUCCCAGUUGGAGUCUCUUUUAAUAUGUAUCCUCAAUUCUUCCAAAGUCGCCGCCUGUAAUGUUGUGUAUAUAUAUAAUAACAACAUGCCUCAAAUAUGUUUUUUUGUCUGCAUGCAUUUGUAUAAUAAAUUAAAUUCAGCAUCUUAAUUUAAUUUGCUCCCAAGCAUUUCAACAUGUAACUUGGAAUCAGCCCCCUUAUAGAACUUGUCUUAAGCUUCCUAUUUCCAACUCUUUGGACUCCUUACCUCAACGAUAGGAUUGGCCAGAUUUAUCACUCCAUUCGGUCUCCAUGCUGACUUCUUGCAACUCCAUUUCUCCACACUGUUUUGAUCAUCAUGCCCUCCAUUUAUCUCUUCAAUUAGCAUAACAGCUCUACCCCUUGGAAUCUCGUGGCUCGAACAAAUAUUUUCUUGGUCUCGUUGGCCCGAAUGAAGCUCGAACUUAGCACUCGAUCUCUCGCCAUCAAUCAAUAAAUCUUUGGUGGUUUGGCUCCUAUUUCGAAUCACAUCACCACCACCAACACUUGUGACAACCACAGUCUCCAACAGCACCACCGCCACCUCCAUCGUAAUCGCCAGAACCACCACUACCAUCGGACAACCACAUUACUGUCUCAAAAAAAUCAACACAUCCACCUUGACAGACCACGACCACCAUCUCACCACUAUCACCGUACCCACUGCCAGGACCACCGCCACUCUCAAAACAUGAAAGCUGCCACCACCAUACUCUUAACAACCAAAACCACCACAUCGUACCCACCAUCAACCACCUAUACCACCACCGUACCGCACCACCAGAUCCACCACCAUUACCACAACUUCCAGAUCAGCCACCACACAACCACCAACAAACCACCGCCACUAUUGCCACUCCAACAUACCAAAACCACAAAUCGUCGCCCAAACACUACUACAUAAUUUGUCUCACUCCACCGUCACUACUGCCACCAACAAGCAAAAUCACCCAUUUUUUAUUAUGUUCCAAUCUGUA
rnacentral:lncRNA from 1 species